rnacentral:rRNA from 1 species
ACAUAACUGAUGCCUCCGCGUAUCGACUUUGUGCGCAUUUUAGCUAUUUAUGUGUUCUUUUUAAUUGAAAUGAUUCUUUUUAAGAUUCAUCUAUUAAAAAUUUGCUUCGGCAUAAUUUUUUUUGAUGAUCUUGUUACUUUGAGUAAAUUAGAGUGUUCAAAGCAAACAGAUAUAGCAUUUGUGCGUUUGAAUACUACAGCAUGGAAUAACAAAAUUGAACAAGUCAGAAUUUUUUUGUUCUUUUUUCUUAUUUUGGCUUAGUUACGAUUAAUAGGAGUAGCUUGGGGGCAUUUGUAUUCAGAUGUCAGAGGUGAAAUUCUUAGAUUUUCUGGAGACAAACAACUGCGAAAGCAUUUGCCUAAAAUACUUCCAUUAAUCAAGAACGAAAGUUAAGGGAGUGAAGACGAUCAGAUACCGUCGUAAUCUUAACCAUAAACUAUGCCGACUAGGCUUUGGAUGAAAGAUUUUAAAAUAAGAGUUUUUCUUUUCUCUCCGGAGAUUAGAACUCUUAGAUUGCUUCCUUCAGUGCCUUAUGAGAAAUCAAAGUCUUUGGGUUCUGGGGCGAGUAUUCGCGCAAGCGAGAAAGUUAAAAGAAUUGACGGAAGGGCACCACCAGGCGUGGAGCUUGCGGCUUAAUUUGACUCAACACGGGAAAACUCACUAGUUUAAGACAAGAGUAGGAUUGACAGAUUAAUAGCUCUUUCUUGAUUUCUUGGAUGGUGAUGCAUGGCCGUUUUUAGUUCGUGAAUAUGAUUUGUCUGGUUAAUUCCGAUAACGAACGAGAUCUUAACCUGCUAAUUAGCGGCAAAUACGAUAUAUUCUUAUGUAGAAUUGAAUAUAGUGGAUUUGUUAGAUUUUGAAGAAAAUAUUGGAAUUACGUUAAAUGUGAUUCCUUUCCCUUUUCUACUUAAUUUACAUUUCCAUCUAUUUCUUUUUUGCGUAUGAAUGUAUUUGCUUGAUUGUAAAGCUUCUUAGAGGAACGAUGUGUG